rnacentral:tRNA from 1 species
CGGGCUGUAGCGCAGCUUGGCAGCGCACCUGCUUUGGGAGCAGGGGGUCGUCAGUUCAAAUCUGACCAGCCCGACCG